AACGAACGCUGGCGGCAUGCCUAACACAUGCAAGUCGAACGAGAUCUUCGGGUCUAGUGGCGCACGGGUGCGUAACGCGUGGGAAUCUGCCCUUUGGUUCGGAAUAACAGUUGGAAACGACUGCUAAUACCGGAUGAUGACGAAAGUCCAAAGACUUAUCGCCAGAGGAUGAGCCCGCGUAGGAUUAGCUAGUUGGUGUGGUAAAGGCGCACCAAGGCGACGAUCCUUAGCUGGUCUGAGAGGAUGAUCAGCCACACUGGGACUGAGACACGGCCCAGACUCCUACGGGAGGCAGCAGUGGGGAAUAUUGGACAAUGGGCGGAAGCCUGAUCCAGCAAUGUCGCGUGAGUGAUGAAGGCCUUAGGGUUGUAAAGCUCUUUUACCCGGGAUGAUAAUGACAGUACCGGGAGAAUAAGCUCCGGCUAACUCCGUGCCAGCCGCCGCGGUAA
rnacentral:rRNA from 1 species